UCCUGGUUAGCCCAGUUGGUAGAGCGCUCCACUGGAAAUGGAGAUGUCCCUGGUUCUAUACUAGGACCAGGCA
rnacentral:tRNA from 2 species